rnacentral:rRNA from 1 species
GGUUCGAUUAUGGCUCAGAUUGAACGCUGGCGGGAUGCUUAUUACGCAAAGCUCGGUGAACGGCAGCACGGACUUCGGUCUGGUGGCGAGUGGCGAACGGGUGUGAGUAAUGUAUCGGAACGUGCCUAGUAGCGGGGGAUAACUACGCGAAAGGUAGCUAAUAUCGCAUACGAACGCCCUUCGGGGAAAGCGGGGGACCUUCGGGCCUCGCACUAUUAGAGCGGCCGAUAUCGGAUUAGCUAGUUGGCGGGGGUAACGGCUCACUAAGGCGACGAUCCGUAGCUGGUUUGAGAGGACGACCAGCCACACUGGGACUGAGACACGGCCCAGACUCCUACGGAGGCAGCAGUGGGGAAUUUUGGACACGGGGAAACCCUGAUCCAGCCACUUCCGCGUGCGAUGAAGGCCUUCGGGUUGUAAAGCACUUUUGGCAGGGAAAGAAACGGCACGGGAUAAUACCGUGCAACUGACGGUACCUGCAACAAGCACCGGCCAACUACGUGCCAGCAGCCGCGGUAAUACGUAGGGUGCAAGCGUUAAUCGGAAUUACUGGGCGAAGCGUGCGCAGGCGGUUCGGAAAGAAAGAUGUGAAAUCCCAGAGCUUAACUUUGGAACUGCAUUUUUAACUACCGAGCUAGAGUGUCAGGAGGGAGGUGGAACUCCGCGUAGCGGUGAAAUGCGUAGAUAUGCGGAGGAACACACCUGAUGGCAAGGCAGCCUCCUGGGAUAACACUGACGCUCAUGCACGAAAGCGUAUGAAGCAAACACAGGAUUAGAUACCCUGGUAGUCCACGCCCUAAACGAUGUCAACUAGCUGUUGGGGCCUUCUGGCCUUGGUAUGCAGUUGACUCGCGAAGCGAACGUCCUGGGGAGUACGGUCGCAAGAUUAAAAACUCAAAGAAUUGACGGGGACCCGCACAAGCGGUGGAUGAUGUGGAUUACCCGAUGGAACAAGAAACCUUAAUUACCCUGACAUGUCCGGAAUCCCGAAGAGAUUUGGGAGUGCUCGCAAGAGAACCGAACACAGGUGUCAAGGGCUUGUCGCUCAGUUUCCCGUGUCGUGAGAUGUUGGGUUAUCCGCAAAGGUAACCUGUCACAGGUUGCUACGAAAGGGCACUUACCAGACCAGACAAACCGAGGAAGGUGGAUGACGUCAAGUCCCUAUGGCCCUUAUGGGUAGGGCUUCACACGUCAUACAAUGGUCGGGACAGAGGGCUCAACCCGCGAGGGGGAGCCAAUCCCAGAAACCCGAUCGUAGUCCGGAUCGCAGUCUGCAACUCGACUGCGUGAAGUCUGUGGAAUCACAGACCGUGGAUCAUGAAUAGCAGGUGAAUACCCCGGGUCUUGUACACACCGCCCGCCACGAUGAUGGCUCACCAGAAGUAGUUAGCCUAACCGUAAGGAGGGCGAUUACCACGGUAGGAUUCAUGACUGGGGUGAAGUCGUAACAAGGUAA